GAUGAACGCUGGCGGCGUGCUUAACACAUGCAAGUCGAACGAUGAAGCCCAGCUUGCUGGGUGGAUUAGUGGCGAACGGGUGAGUAACACGUGAGUAACCUGCCCUUAACUCUGGGAUAAGCCUGGGAAACUGGGUCUAAUACCGGAUAGGAGCGUCCACCGCAUGGGGGGUGGGGGAAAGAGUUAACGGGUUUGGAUGGACUCGCGGCCAAUCAGCUUGUUGGUGAGGUAAUGGCUCACCAAGGCGACGACGGGUAGCCGGCCUGAGAGGGUGACCGGCCACACUGGGCCUGAGACACGGCCCAGACUCCUACGGGGGGCAGCAGUGGGGAAUAUUGCACAAUGGGCGCAAGCCUGAUGCAGCGACGCCGCGUGCGGGAUGACGGCCUUCGGGUUGUAAACCUCUUUCAGUAGGGACGAAGCGAGAGUGACGGUACCUGCAGAAGAAGCACCGGCUAACUACGUG
rnacentral:rRNA from 1 species